rnacentral:rRNA from 1 species
CACGUAGGGCGCAAGCGUUUGUCCCGGAAUUAUUGGGCGUAAAGAGCUCGUAGGCGGUCUGUUGCGUCUGCUGUGAAAUUUCGGGGCUCAACCCCGAACUUGCAGUGGGUACGGGGCAGACUAGAGUGUGGUAGGGGGAGACUGGAAUUCCUGGUGUAGCGGUGAAAUGCGCAGAUAUCAGGAGGAACACCGGUGGCGAAGGCGGGGUCUCUGGGGCCCU